rnacentral:lncRNA from 1 species
UCUGGUAUGUCAAAUCGAAACUAAUUAACCAGUUGGUGUCUUAAGGUAAGUUUGGCAGAUUCGAUCAAGUGAUUUUUAAUUGAGAGCUAUUCACCUAGAUGCAUCUACGGUGAGUUAAGGACAAAUCCCUCCCGCUGAUCUUACUUACCUGGCCAACAUGGUAGAUUAUAUUUUGAUUAGAUCACUAGUCGAUUCGUGCAGACCCAUACCAUUAAGGUGAAUCAGUGUGACUGAUUUAGG